GAUGAACGCUAGCGGCAGGCUUAAUACAUGCAAGUCGUGGGGCAGCAGGUUUGUAGCAAUACAGAUGCUGGCGACCGGCAAACGGGUGCGGAACACGUACAGAACCUUCCUUUGAGCGGGGAAUAGCCCAGAGAAAUUUGGAUUAAUACCCCAUAGUAUAAUGAAGUGGCAUCACUUUAUUAUUAAAGAUUUAUCACUCGAAGAUGGCUGUGCGGCUGAUUAGGUAGUUGGCGGGUAAAGGCCCACCAAGCCUGCGAUCAGUAACUGGUGUGAGAGCACGACCAGGGUCACACGGGCACUGAGACACGGGCCCGACUCCUACGGGAGGCAGCAGUAAGGAUAUUGGUCAAUGGAGGCAACUCUGAACCAGCCAUGCCGCGUGGAGGAUGAAGGUCCUCUGGAUUGUAAACUUCGUUUUAUAUGGGACGAAAAAGGACUUUUCGUAAGUCGUCUGACGGUACCA
rnacentral:rRNA from 1 species